rnacentral:rRNA from 3 species
GACGAACGCUGGCGGCGUGCCUAAUACAUGCAAGUCGAACGAACUCUGGUAUUGAUUGGUGCUUGCAUCAUGAUUUACAUUUGAGUGAGUGGCGAACUGGUGAGUAACACGUGGGAAACCUGCCCAGAAGCGGGGGAUAACACCUGGAAACAGAUGCUAAUACCGCAUAACAACUUGGACCGCAUGGUCCGAGUUUGAAAGAUGGCUUCGGCUAUCACUUUUGGAUGGUCCCGCGGCGUAUUAGCUAGAUGGUGAGGUAACGGCUCACCAUGGCAAUGAUACGUAGCCGACCUGAGAGGGUAAUCGGCCACAUUGGGACUGAGACACGGCCCAAACUCCUACGGGAGGCAGCAGUAGGGAAUCUUCCACAAUGGACGAAAGUCUGAUGGAGCAACGCCGCGUGAGUGAAGAAGGGUUUCGGCUCGUAAAACUCUGUUGUUAAAGAAGAACAUAUCUGAGAGUAACUGUUCAGGUAUUGACGGUAUUUAACCAGAAAGCCACGGCUAACUACGUGCCAGCAGCCGCGGUAAUAUGUAGGUGGCAAGCGUUGUCCGGAUUUAUUGGGCGUAAAGCGAGCGCAGGCGGUUUUUUAAGUCUGAUGUGAAAGCCUUCGGCUCAACCGAAGAAGUGCAUCGGAAACUGGGAAACUUGAGUGCAGAAGAGGACAGUGGAACUCCAUGUGUAGCGGUGAAAUGCGUAGAUAUAUGGAAGAACACCAGUGGCGAAGGCGGCUGUCUGGUCUGUAACUGACGCUGAGGCUCGAAAGUAUGGGUAGCAAACAGGAUUAGAUACCCUGGUAGUCCAUACCGUAAACGAUGAAUGCUAAGUGUUGGAGGGUUUCCGCCCUUCAGUGCUGCAGCUAACGCAUUAAGCAUUCCGCCUGGGGAGUACGGCCGCAAGGCUGAAACUCAAAGGAAUUGACGGGGGCCCGCACAAGCGGUGGAGCAUGUGGUUUAAUUCGAAGCUACGCGAAGAACCUUACCAGGUCUUGACAUACUAUGCAAAUCUAAGAGAUUAGACGUUCCCUUAGGGGACAUGGAUACAGGUGGUGCAUGGUUGUCGUCAGCUCGUGUCGUGAGAUGUUGGGUUAAGUCCCGCAACGAGCGCAACCCUUAUUAUCAGUUGCCAGCAUUAAGUUGGGCACUCUGGUGAGACUGCCGGUGACAAACCGGAGGAAGGUGGGGAUGACGUCAAAUCAUCAUGCCCCUUAUGACCUGGGCUACACACGUGCUACAAUGGAUGGUACAACGAGUUGCGAACUCGCGAGAGUAAGCUAAUCUCUUAAAGCCAUUCUCAGUUCGGAUUGUAGGCUGCAACUCGCCUACAUGAAGUCGGAAUCGCUAGUAAUCGCGGAUCAGCAUGCCGCGGUGAAUACGUUCCCGGGCCUUGUACACACCGCCCGUCACACCAUGAGAGUUUGUAACACCCAAAGUCGGUGGGGUAACCUUUUAGGAACCAGCCGCCUAAGGUGGGACAGAUGAUUAGGGUG